rnacentral:rRNA from 1 species
UACGUAGGGGGCAAGCGUUGUCCGGAUUUAUUGGGCGUAAAGAGCGUGUAGGCGGCUUUACAGGUCCGUUGUGAAAACUCGAGGCUCAACCUCGAGACGCCGGUGGAAACCGUAAAGCUAGAGUCCGGAAGAGGAGAGUGGAAUUCCUGGUGUAGCGGUGAAAUGCGUAGAGAUCGGGAGGAACAUCAGUUGCGAAGGCGGCUCUCUGGACCAGCACUGACACUGAGACGCGAAAGCGUGGGAGCAAACAGG